GUUAAUAUAGUUUUAAAACAAACAUUAGACUGUGGCUCUAAAAAUAGGAGUUAAA
rnacentral:tRNA from 1 species